GCACAGUCAGCUUGAUGUUGAGGAGAAGGGCUGUGCAGCAGAGAGGCGCUUUAGUUUUUCAUUCUCCUGCAGUGGAAGAACAUUGCUGCUCUGCUGUCUCUUUGACUUUAACAACUCCAAAGACAUGUUGCUUCACCUCUUUUUACUUUGCUCUCACUUUAUAGCCCUGAGUUCCAUGAACAGCAUAAAGCCAGAAAGGACUGAAGAACAUGUUGCAGAGGGAAGAAACAUCAACCUGGCCUGUAAAUACGAGGGUGUUAUCUACAAUAUCCAGUGGUACCGACAAUACCAGAGAUCCAGACCAGAGUUCCUGCUCUACAGCACAGAGGGAGGAUCGAUCCAUCCAACUGGUUCUGGUUUCUCAGCUCACAUCAACAAAACAGAGAAACGUGUAGAUGUGGAGAUCAUCUCAGCUAAAGUGACUGACUCUGCUGUGUACUACUGUGCUGUGAGGCCCACAGUGACAGGAAACAGCAAAACUCUGCACAAAAACCUCUGCAGCAAACACAACACAAUACUCCACAACGUCCACUAGAGGGAGUCACACACUGUUCAACUUCAAUGGGAUGUGAUGGUCGUGUUGAUUCUUGCCAGUGGUGAUAAAAACAACACAAAAUGAAGCACUAAAGUUAAAACACACAGGGCCAGACUGACUAAGAAAAUGUCUUUGCACAAAUGUGCUGCUGUUUUCAUUGAGUUUGCAGUCGUAAUCUGUGUUUAUUCAGCACCUCAGUUACUAAGGCAGCAACUCAUUAUGCAGUCAGAUCCUGGACUGAGCCUCAGACAACCCUCCAAUUAUGACAAAAUAUCGGACAAAUGUGUCAGAGGAUCAAAAGUGUUGAUAGUUUAUAUCCAAAAGGUCGAAGGUCAACUUCACUGCAGCACAACAAUGUUCUGCAAAAAUACUUUACAUUUGGUCAGAUACUGAAAUGGUGACACUAAUCUUGGCUGUCCACCUUAAAACUGUGCUCAUUGUUUCGGUGAUGGUAGUUGUGGUUCUUU